UGGCGAACGGGUGAGUAACACGUGGGUGAUCUGCACUGCACUUCGGGAUAAGCUUGGGAAACUGGGUCUAAUACCGGAUAGGAGCCAUCUUUAGUGUGGUGGUUGGAAAGUCUUUUCGGUGUAGGAUGAGCUCGCGGCCUAUCAGCUUGUUGGUGGGGUAAUGGCCUACCAAGGCGGCGACGGGUAGCCGGCCUGAGAGGGUGUACGGCCACAUUGGGACUGAGAUACGGCCCAG
rnacentral:rRNA from 1 species